GCCCUUGUAGUUUAACGGAUAAAACAGUGGUUUCCGGAACCACCGCUGUGGGUUCGAUUCCCGCCAAGGGCACCA
rnacentral:tRNA from 1 species